UACAACUUUCGGCAAGGAAUUCUUUGCUUCUGGCAUCAAUAAAAAACGCACCGAAAUGCAAUAAGUAAUGUGAAUUGCAAACCCCCAGUGAAUCAUCAAAUCUUUGAACGCACCUGGCGCUCCUUAUAAUUCUGAGGAGCAUGCCUGUUUGAGUGUCAUUA
rnacentral:rRNA from 1 species